GGGGAUAUAGCUCAGUUGGUAGAGUGCUUGCCUCAAAUGCACAAGGUCCUGGGUUCAAUCCCCAGUACCA
rnacentral:tRNA from 1 species